GACGAACGCUGGCGGCGUGCUUAACACAUGCAAGUCGAACGGAAAGGCCCUGCUUUUGUGGGGUGCUCGAGUGGCGAACGGGUGAGUAACACGUGAGUAACCUGCCCUUGACUUUGGGAUAACUUCAGGAAACUGGGGCUAAUACCGGAUAGGAGCUCCUGCUGCAUGGUGGGGGUUGGAAAGUUUCGGCGGUUGGGGAUGGACUCGCGGCGUAUCAGCUUGUUGGUGGGGUAGUGGCUUACCAAGGCUGUGACGGGUAGCCGGCCUGAGAGGGUGACCGGCCACAUUGGGACUGAGAUACGGCCCAGACUCCUACGGGAGGCAGCAGUGGGGAAUAUUGCACAAUGGGCGGAAGCCUGAUGCAGCAACGCCGCGUGCGGGAUGACGGCCUUCGGGUUGUAAACCGCUUUCGCCUGUGACGAAGCGUGAGUGACGGUAAUGGGUAAAGAAGCACCGGCUAACUACGUG
rnacentral:rRNA from 1 species